GAACCAGAGAGGAAAGGCAGAAAACUAGCAAUGGAGAGACAUAUAUGUCGCAUGACUCUUCUCUGGUAGGAAAGAUCUUGCACACAUACACAAAAGAAAAUCAAGUCUUCCUGUAAGUAUCGCAAUCUCUUUAAUUCUUUUCCCUAGUACUUGACAUAAUCUUUAUGUGUUUAAAAAUUAAAUGCGAAGUUGCAGGAAGGACUGCACAGUGGCUCCUCUGGGCCUGAAUCCAUUCUUUAUUGGGGCCUUCCCCUCUUUUUGCCAUCCUUUGUUUGCUCUGGUAAAACGAGCAAUUGUGUGGGACAUGAGCACAGUCCAGACCUCAUUCAAGUCUCCGUUUGUUCCCUGAAUGACCUGGCUGUGCAGAUCUCACUCUGCUCACGUCAGUGCAGAGGAAAAAGCUCCAGUCUUGAAGUGUAAGCACAAGGGAGAGAACUGAGUUUUCCCAUGCGUUGUUGCUGCCAUUGCGUCAUUCCAAGCUCAGGAUUUGGUGUCUCAGAAAAGAUAUCUUGUCAUUGUCUAUGUUCUUUCAAAUUUGAUCACUUUAACUUCCCCAACAGCAAAGGUUCUCUUUGAAAUCCUCAAUGUCCAUUUAUUGUUCUUGCUUCACAUUUGAAAUCAAGCAGGCAUGAAACAAAUUUAAUGUAGCUCCAACCUUCUUCCACCCAGCUUGGUAAACUGGUAUUGAUCCAUCUAAUGCAUCUAACAGGGACCAAACGGGCUGCACAAGGAGAUAUUUUCAUUCCGUUGUGUGAUUUUUUUCAGCACAAUGGAUUGGUUUCCUUUGGAAAGCUUGCUCCAGAUUGUAUACUGGAAGGUAUGAAUAUCAUUCAAUGUAGUAAAAGGAGGGAUGACCUCUUACAGAGUUCAUCACUGGGAUUUGCUCUGGAAAAAAGUCUGGAGAGGGUUUGGAGGAAGCUGACCCAGCAGCCACUCCCAGCACCAACCACUGACCAAGAGAUGCCUCUAUGAAGCCUAAUUCCUCACCUGGAGGAGAAGGUAAUUAAUCCAAGAGAAGUAACUAUCCGGAGCAGCAAACUGAGCACACCGUGAUGGCUCUUCCAUUCAGACUGUCAUAACCUGCUUGUGCCACAAAGCAUUAUUUCAUUUUAUCUGGAGGCAGCUGGACUGACAAUACAGUUACGCCAUUUCAGGAAGCUUUUAGAGAUCUGCAGUGUCAAGAAAGAACAAUUUGCGUUAUCUUCUUUAUUGUGUCUAUUACUUCUUCAAAAAAACAUCAUUUAACGUGCAAAUGGCAAAUAGAAGCAUUCUUGAAAUUUAUACUUGGUGCAGAUUUUAUGUCCUCUUCCUUCAAUCAUUGCUGAAAUUAGAAGGUUAAAAACAUUUUUGGAUGAUAAAGACCUGGCUGAGACUGAAGAUAAUUCCUACUUUUGUCUUUUUUCUUCAAGGAACUUAUUUAUUAAAGAAAAGAGUCAAUUUUUAAGUAGAAAAUGAACUGAUUUAGAAAUGUUAUCCGUAUGAAUUGCAUUUAAUUUUGUUACUGUUUAAUAUAUAAAACAUUUUGAAGUACCCUUUUCAGUGCUCACAAGUGUGUAUACUCCUACGUAAAGAGAUGAGAUUAGACUGCUCUUGAAGUAAACUGACACGUUCCAGUCUCUGACUUGAAGUGCGACUCCUGUACGGUACGCUAUUGCAUGUCGUGCCCUCAGCUGAUCUUCACAGAAAUGCCAGCUGAAGUAUUGCUGAGCCUAUGGAAAUAAGAACAAGAGUUUCCAGUGUGAU
ensembl:lncRNA